GGUCUGGCCCACGCUUCGUGGUUGCCAUAGAAACCUGACGUCACGUGGCGACCGUGACGACUUUUUAAUAGAGACAGAAGUGCCCUCCAUAGCAGAGCAGGGGCCCGCCUUCAGGUGUUUGGGGGCGUUGUUGAGGGUGUGGGUCCCCGCGGUCGGGGCUGAACCGCCCUGGGAUGGAAGGAGACAAAGGGAUUCAGAUCCAAGUUGCUUCGUUCUUGCCUUGGGAGUCAGCACGGCCGCUGUCUCGUAGCUCUUCAUGACGGUGGCCCAGCUCAUAUCAGGUGCGUGAAGAGGGCAGGUUCUGAGGAUGUGUGUCCUGAUGGCUGCUGAAGCUUCUACUCCAGGUUCAAGGUCAGCAGUUCUCAGGAGACCCCAACACUUCACACCCCUGGUGGAAAUUGAUGCCUGGCACAAAGAGAGACAUAGCAUGAGCAGAAGAAGAGCAGAGAGAGAGGGAGA